UCUCUGGAGGACUAGUGGUUAGGUCUCGCCACUGUCAACGCCUCGGCUCGGGUUCGAUUCCCAGCCAGGGAA